AGUGGGAAACACAAUUCAUUAAAAAAUGCAUACAAGGAAAACAGAUAAAUUCAUGAACAUUGAGAAUUGAACAUGGAAUGCCAUAGAUGUAUGAGGCAUCUAUGGAAACCUUGCCAAUUCAUUUACAACCUUUUUUUAUUUCGUGGGCAAGAGAGUUUUAUUCGUGAUAAUAAAGAAAAAUGAGAGGAUACAGAGAACUAACAUAAAAUUAAUCCAUGAUCAAAAGCCCGAGUUAAUUAGAUUUGAUGUGGUAACUCUAAUUAAUCUACAAUUAACACAACUUAAUUUUAAAGGAUUCCAAGGUGUCAUUUCGCUUAGUUCUAGUAUGAUUACAUUGCAAUGAUUCACAAUUAAGUGUUAAGAGUAGUUAUAAGAACAAUAGAUCUAUCUUAAUAUUAACAUUCUCUUUAUGUCCUGUUUGAGAGAGCUAAAGUAAAAUAAGUUUUUUUAAACAAAAUAUUUAAAAAUAAAAUUUUCAUGAUUUUUAAAUUUUUAUAAUUUUUUUAUAGUUUGAAAUAAGAGAUUUUUUUUUAAAGAUA
rnacentral:misc_RNA from 1 species